rnacentral:rRNA from 1 species
UUUUGACCUCAAAUCAGGUAGGACUACCCGCUGAACUUAAGCAUAUCAAUAAGCGGAGGAAAAGAAACUAACAAGGAUUCCCCUAGUAACUGCGAGUGAAGCGGGAAAAGCUCAAAUUUAAAAUCUGGCGGUCUCCGGCCGUCCGAGUUGUAAUCUGGAGAAGCGUUUUCCGCGUCNGACCGUGUACAAGUCUUCUGGAACGGAGCGUCGUAGAGGGUGAGAAUCCCGUCUCUGANACGGACUGCCGAUGCUUUUGNGAUACGCUCUC